AUUGAACGCUGGCGGCAUGCCUUACACAUGCAAGUCGAACGGUAACGGGCCUUCGGGUGCCGACGAGUGGCGAACGGGUGAGUAAUACAUCGGAACGUGCCCGAUCGUGGGGGUUAACGAGGCGAAAGCUUUGCUAAUACCGCAUACGAUCUACGGAUGAAAGCCUGGGACCGCAAGGCCUUGCGCGGACGGAGCGGCCGAUGGCAGAUUAGGUAGUUGGUGGGAUAAAAGCUUACCAAGCCGACGAUCUGUAGCUGGUCUGAGAGGAUGAUCAGCCACACUGGGACUGAGACACGGCCCAGACUCCUACGGGAGGCAGCAGUGGGGAAUUUUGGACAAUGGGCGCAAGCCUGAUCCAGCCAUGCCGCGUGCAGGAUGAAGGCCUUCGGGUUGUAAACUGCUUUUGUACGGAACGAAAAGCCUUCUUUUAAUACAGGAGGGUCAUGACGGUACCGGAAGAAUAAGCACCGGCUAACUACGUG
rnacentral:rRNA from 1 species